UAGUUGUGGGAACCUUCCACGGUUUCCGCGACGCAGCUAACGCAUUAAGUGCCCCGCCUGGGGAGUACGAUCGCAAGAUUAAAACUCAAAGGAAUUGACGGGGCCCCGCACAAGCAGCGGAGCAUGCGGCUUAAUUCGACGCAACGCGAAGAACCUUACCAAGGCUUGACAUAUAGGGAAAAGUGGCAGAGAUGUCAUGUCCGCAAGGGCUCUAUACAGGUGGUGCAUGGUUGUCGUCAGCUCGUGUCGUGAGAUGUUGGGUUAAGUCCCGCAACGAGCGCAACCCUCGUUCUGUGUUGCCAGCAUUUAGUUGGGGACUCACAGGAGACUGCCGGGGUUAACUCGGAGGAAGGUGGGGAUGACGUCAAAUCAUCAUGCCCCUUAUGUCUUGGGCUGCACGCAUGCUACAAUGGCCGGUACAGAGGGCUGCAAUACCGUAAGGUGGAGCGAAUCCCAAAAAGCCGGUCUCAGUUCGGAUUGAGGUCUGCAACUCGACCUCAUGAAGUUGGAGUUGCUAGUAAUCGUAGAUCAGCAACGCUACGGUGAAUACGUUCCCGGGGCUUGUACACACCGCCCGUCACGUCACGAAAGUCGGUAACACCCAAAGUCAGUGGCCCAACCGCAAGGGG
rnacentral:rRNA from 1 species